rnacentral:tRNA from 1 species
AGUCCUGUAGCUCAGUGGUUAGAGCACUCGCUUUUGCAAGUGAGAGAUCUGGGUUCGAUUCCCGGCAGGGCGA